CGCCUCGCGUGAGUUUCGGUUCGCGGUCGUCGAGAUAACGACGCGUCGUCGUUUCCGCGCUCGUCGACCAACUUCUACUCGUCCGAGCAAGAAAAGCGUGAGCUGUCGUUUCGCGAUUUCGCCUACGUCGUUUGUCGCGUGUUUUGGUGAAUCGAUAAGCUCGAACGUUGUACGAGCCGUUGAAAACAGUGUGAUACAGCGUCGAUUAUUAUCAUGGUCGACGGGAUAGAUGGGCGAUACGGUAGGAUCCUACGGUGUUCGUCGAUCGGAUGUUUUCUUUCCGAGGGAUAUCCCGAGGAAUAACAUCGCUGGAUAUCAGACGCGAUAGAAGAUAUAGGAGUAGAAGAGGCGAGGAGAAGGCGAGGAAAGCAAAGAUCGGAAAAUCACGAGUCACGUACGCCGGAGAAUUAUCGACUGUCAAGUUUUCUAAUUAGCGUCGCGCGGGACGCGCGCGCGUCUUCCAAGUGACAGGUCGGUGACUAACCGCAAAGUCGCAUCGAUACCGCGCCGCCGUCAACCAUCCGACGAACACGUACACAACGGAGAGCGUCGGUUUCAGAAAAACUUUCGGAAUCAUUUAAUUAAACGAGCAGCGAGCAAAUUCGAGAUAACGGCGUAGCUGGAGCAAGCAGUUGCCACGAUAACGAAGUUUCGACCGACGAAACGAUAGAUUCCAGAGAACUUGGAAGGAAGCGCCGGCUGGGAAAAGAGAUUAUCGAACCGACCGGCCUAUUAAUUACCGGAGUUGCAGGGAAAAUUUCCACGAAAGCGCGGUAGGG